CUACUAAUAAACCACUAUAAGGUCUAGUGAGGUGCUGUGGGGUUUUCAUGAGACUGUCUACUAAUAAACCACUAUAAGGUCUAGUGAGGUGCUGUGGGGUUUUCAUGAGACUGUCUACUAAUAAACCACUAUAAGGUCUAGUGAGGUGCUGUGGGGUUUUCAUGAGACUGUCUACUAAUAAACCACUAUAAGGUCUAGUGAGGUGCUGUGGGGUUUUCAUGAGACUGUCUACUAAUAAACCACUAUAAGGUCUAGUGAGGUGCUGUGGGGUUUUCAUGAGACUGUCUACUAAUAAACCACUAUAAGGUCUAGUGAGGUGCUGUGGGGUUUUCAUUGAGACUGUCUACUAAUAAACCACUAUAAGGUCUAGUGAGGUGCUGUGGGGUUUUCAUGAGACUGUCUACUAAUAAACCACUAUAAGGUCUAGUGAGGUGCUGUGGGGUUUUCAUGAGACUGUCUACUAAUAAACCACUAUAAGGUCUAGUGAGGUGCUGUGGGGUUUUCAUGAGACUGUCUACUAAUAAACCACUAUAAGGUCUAGUGAGGUGCUGUGGGGUUUUCAUGAGACUGUCUACUAAUAAACCACUAUAAGGUCUAGUGAGGUGCUGUGGGGUUUUCAUGAGACUGUCUACUAAUAAACCACUAUAAGGUCUAGUGAGGUGCUGUGGGGUUUUCAUUGAGACUGUCUACUAAUAAACCACUAUAAGGUCUAGUGAGGUGCUGUGGGGUUUUCAUUGAGACUGUCUACUAAUAAACCACUAU